rnacentral:rRNA from 1 species
GACGAACGCUGGCGGCGUGCUUAACACAUGCAAGUCGAACGGAAAGGCCCUGCUUUUGUGUGGUGCUCGAAUGGCUAACGGGUGAGUAACACGUGAGUAACCUGCCCUUUACUUUGGGAUAACUUCUGGAAACUGGGGCUAAUACCGGAUAGGAGCUCCUGCUGCAUGGUGGGGGUUGGAAAGUUUCGGCGGGUGGGGAUGGACUCGCGGGUUAUCAGCUUGUUGGUGGGGUAGUGGCUUACCAAGGCUUUGACGGGUAUGCGGCCUGAGAGGGUGAACGGCCACAUGGGGACUGAGAUACGGACCAGACUCCUACGGGAGGCAGCAGUGGGGAAUAUUGCACAAUGGGCGGAAGCCUGAGGCAGAAACGCCGCGGGCGGGAUGACGGCCUUCGGGUUGUAAACCGAGUUCGCCUGUGACGAAGCGUGAGUGACGGUAAUGGGUAAAGAAGCACCGGCUAACUACGUG